CACUGCCAGUCAGAGUGGAGGUGGGGGAGGCAUUGAGAUAUCUGGGGACCACCGGCUUGUCCCAGGACCAGCAUCCCUCAGCUCUCUCCAAGACUAGAGACAGGUCAUCUGUCCCUUUGGGAGAAGGUCUAAGAGAGUCACUGGUUCAGAAUUCAAAGCUGCUGCCUGGAUGAAGAUCUCUCAAGGUUGUAGAGGAUGGUGAGGCCAGAUGUUGGAAGGAACUGGAUCCUUGAAUCACCACAUGAAGGAAGCUUCCUGCCAAUUGCAUUGGGCUGAUACCUUGGAGAAAUAGACAUUUUUGUGUUUAGUUACUGAAAAUCUGAGAUGAGAAACCUGAGGCACAGAGAAGUUAAAUAACUUGUCCAGUGUCAUAUACCUGAGAAACGGUGGAUCUACAAAUAUUGGAAGAAAAUGAAAUUGCCAAAUUACAGCAUUUGUUAUAUCAAAAAAAAAUUCCAUUUUAUUGAAAUAAUAAUAGAAACAAACAAUGUUUGGAUUGCUUAUUCUUUUUCCCUUUUAGUUACACACUAGAACCAAAAUUAUAUUAAAAACCCCAAACUAUCAUUUGUUUCUUCUUUCCCAUCAUUUUCACUGGGUAAAACUGACAUUUCUGCCUAAAUACUACUAUGGAAAGGCAGGAUUUUAUAGCAAUACUAUUGUACAUCAUCAAAAGCAAGCCUUACUCAUCUUCAUUCUACUCUAGUCUAUGGAUCCAGGUCCUUUUGAACACAGAAAGGAGUAAAAGGCGCCAACAUCGCAGAUUCAGUCGAAGCAAAGCUCCUCACGUGGCAUUCAUGAAGACCAGCUUCACAUACCUGCAUUCACCUACCUGCAAACAUUGCCCCAGAGAGGCCUCUGCACAUCCUCCACUAACCUGUGCCUUACCAUAAGCUGCGUACAUACUGGUACAGAAGAUGACCAUCGGAGUCCAAGUUUAUGCUCCUUACGAGGAAUAAAGAUUGUAUUUAAGUAAAGAAAUCUGUUGAUGACAUCUAAGCCCAAAUAUGCUACAAGUAUCACUCUGAAAAUGGACAGGAAAAGGUAUUAGGUUACAGGAAACCCCUAUAAUUUUAUAUGGAAAGCAGUAAAUUCGGGUUGUGUCUUACUGUGCCGCACAUUAAUGUAGUCAGUCCGAGUCAAGUCACGUGAGUGCCAUGACGGGAAUAGAGAGACAGGGUCUUGCCUUAAAAAAAAGAAAGACUUCUCAGACAAUUCUGCUAAAGGAUGCCUGACUCAAAUUUACAGUGGAUUGAAUCAUUUCAGUUCUGACAUUAUUGAAGAUAAUUUGUGCAAGCCCAAAACAAGAUUUCCUUCCUCGUUCUACCCUCUUUUUUCUCAUCCUACCCUCCAGAUUGUAAGUACUGGCUCUUUUUAGCUGAGGCUGAAUCAAUCAUUUUCAUUACUUCAUUGCAAUUCGAAGACAAUUGCAGCAAACAAAAAAUAGAAUUUGACUUGCUGAUGUUUAAUUAUUGAUGUGGCCUUUUUAAAACACAUUUGGUUCUCAGAACUGUGCUCCGUUUCUCGUUGGUUCCCAUUCUGUUUGUUCUUGGCCUCUGUGUUCCUUUUCGAUUUUCUGCAGGUUAGCAAGUGCCGCGUCGUCUGCUUUUGAAAUGUGUCUUUAGGCAUGCUUUUGUUUGACAAGGAAUGCCAAGGCUGAGCUGACAAAGUCUGUUUGAAAAUCUUUUUCCAGGUAUACAAGAUCAGUGAGCCUGUUCAAUGUAUACUGUGAUUAGAAUUUUUCUUCAGAUAUUUAUAUCAACAUUUCAGUUUUAGGGAGAGAUGUUUUCAGAGCCUACCUGUCAGACGAAACUUAUAAAAGGUAAGGAACUCUAUCAUUUAUAUAUUCAAAUGCAGAAAUACAUUUGUGGUAGAGCUGACAUCCUCCAUACUUCCCCCCAUCCCUCGUGUGACUCGAAAGGACAUAGGUUACAAGCUUCAGUCACCCCUCUUCCCACAUGCAGGAGCAAACAUCUCCUUUGGAGUUCUCACCCUCAGCUACAGGAUCUCAGGAUCUAACUGGGAAAGAUUUAGAAGGUUUUUGUCUCAUGGCUCCAACCUGGGCUGGUGAUCUGUUUCACCCUUGAUAGUAUACUUGUUUCAAUGCUGUUCUCUCAGAACAUCCCACCCUCGCCUUCUCCCACAGAGUCUAA